GACGAACGCUGGCGGCGUGCUUAACACAUGCAAGUCGAACGAAAAGCGAUGGAAGCUUGCUUCUACCACUCUUAGUGGCGGACGGGUGAGUCACGCGUAAUCAACCUGCCCUUCAGAGGGGGACAACAGAUGGAAACGACUGCUAAUACAGCAUACGCUCUAAUCUCGGCAUCGAGGAUAGAUGAAAGGUGGCCGCUACAUGUAAGCUAUCACUGAAGGAGGGGAUUGCGUCUGAUUAGCUAGGUGGAGGGGUAACGGCCCACCAAGGAGAUGAACAGUAGCCGGGUGUGGAGGAUGGACGGGCAAAUGGGGACUGGGGCACGGGCCAGACUCCUACGGGAGGGAGCAGGGGGGAAUCUUCCGAAAUGGAGGAAAGGCUGACGGAACAACGCCGGGGGAGUGAUGGAGGGCUUCGGGGUGUAAAGCUCUGUUAAUCGGGACGAAAGGCCUUCGUGCGAAUAGUGAGAAGGAUUGACGGUACCGGAAUAGAAAGCCACGGCUAACUACGUG
rnacentral:rRNA from 1 species